rnacentral:lncRNA from 1 species
AAAGAAGAAGAAGAGGAAAGGAGAAGAAAAAAGAAAGAAAAAGAAGGAAAGAAAAGGAAAGGAGAAGAGAAAAAAAAAGAAGAAGAAGAAGAAGAGGAAGGAAGGGAAAAAAAGGCAAUUUUUUUUUAUAAAUUUAUUUUUUUUGUAAUAUUUGUAUGUUAAAAAUAUAUGUUAUGUACAUUAUACGUAUUUUAAUAUUUUAUUUAGCAUAUAUAUUUUGAUGUUAUGUACAUUAUACGUAUUUAUAUUAUGGUAUGUACAUUGUAUGUUGAUUAGGGUUUUUUUUUAUGAAUUUUACUUAGGAAGUUAAAAUUAGUUAUUUUAGGAAAAUAGCAUUAAAAGUAAAAUGAUAAAGAAAUAUGUUUAAGAAAACAUUAAAUACGAAAAGAAAAAACGGAAAUUCUAUAUUCACCGAAAAUAAUAAAAUGCGAAAAAAAUUGUAUAUGUAAUAAAUC